rnacentral:rRNA from 1 species
AGCCUGAUGCAGCCAUGCCGCGUGUGUGAAGAAGGCCUUCGGGUUGUAAAGCACUUUCAGUCGUGAGGAAGGUAGUGUAGUUAAUAGCUGCAUUAUUUGACGUUAGCGACAGAAGAAGCACCGGCUAACUCCGUGCCAGCAGCCGCGGUAAUACGGAGGGUGCGAGCGUUAAUCGGAAUUACUGGGCGUAAAGCGCAUGCAGGUGGUUUGUUAAGUCAGAUGUGAAAGCCCGGGGCUCAACCUCGGAAUAGCAUUUGAAACUGGCAGACUAGAGUACUGUAGAGGGGGGUAGAAUUUCAGGUGUAGCGGUGAAAUGCGUAGAGAUCUGAAGGAAUACCGGUGGCGAAGGCGGCCCCCUGGACAGAUACUGACACUCAGAUGCGAAAGCGUGGGGAGCAAACAGGAUUAGAUACCCUGGUAGUCCACGCCGUAAACGAUGUCUACUUGGAGGUUGUGGCCUUGAGCCGUGGCUUUCGGAGCUAACGCGUUAAGUAGACC